rnacentral:rRNA from 1 species
UACGUAGGGUGCGAGCGUUGUCCGGAAUUAUUGGGCGUAAAGGGCUCGUAGGCGGUUUGUCACGUCGGGAGUGAAAACUCAGGGCUUAACCCUGAGCCUGCUUCCGAUACGGGCAGACUAGAGGUAUGCAGGGGAGAACGGAAUUCCUGGUGUAGCGGUGAAAUGCGCAGAUAUCAGGAGGAAUACCGGUGGCGAAGGCGGCAUCCUGGACCGACAUUGACGCUGAGGAGCGAAAGCUAGGGGAGCAAACGGG